rnacentral:lncRNA from 1 species
AAUAAUAAUGUGUAACUCCAUUAUACCUGCGCAGUUUGCGCAGUGAAGAUGCCCUUCACUUCAGUACAGGCAAUAGAAAACCCUUUGCAACUGCGCAGGAUGUGUGACAAACCAUAUGUGCUGUAUCGGCGAACAACGAGGCUGAACAUUGUGGAUAAAAAUAAAAACAAGGAGAAUGGGGAAGAAACAGAAAAAGUCAGGCGAUGACAGUGCUAAAGACGAUGGCAUCGACCUUGACGCCCUAGCAGCAGAAAUCGAAGGAGCGGGAGCCUCCAAGGAGCAAGGUAAAGGAAAGGCGAAGAAGAAGAAAGACAAAAAGAAAGAUGAUUUUGAUGAAGACGACAUCCUGAAGGAGCUGGAGGAACUGUCUCUUGAAACCACAGGAGCUAAAGGCAGCAAGGU